rnacentral:rRNA from 1 species
UUCNNGNNNGGGGGNNNNNNNNGCGUGAGAAUCUGCCCUCAGGAGGGGGAUAACGGCCGGAAACGGCCGCUAAUACCCCAUAUGCCGAGAGGUGAAAUGAAUUUCGCCUGAGGAUGAGCCCGCGUCUGAUUAGCUAGUUGGUGGGGUAAUGGCCCACCAAGGCGACGAUCAGUAGCUGGUCUGAGAGGAUGAUCAGCCACACUGGGACUGAGACACGGCCCAGACUCCUACGGGAGGCAGCAGUGGGGAAUUUUCCGCAAUGGGCGAAAGCCUGACGGAGCAACGCCGCGUGAGGGAUGAAGGCCUCUGGGCUGUAAACCUCUUUUCUCAAGGAAGAAGACAUGACGGUACUUGAGGAAUAAGCCACGGCUAAUUCCGUGCCAGCAGCCGCGGUAAUACGGGAGUGGCAAGCGUUAUCCGGAAUUAUUGGGCGUAAAGCGUCCGCAGGCGGCCUUGUAAGCUGUCGUUAAAGCGUGGAGCCUUAACUCCAUUUCAGCGAUGGAAACUACAAGGCUUGAGUGUGGUAGGGGCAGAGGGAAUUCCCGGUGUAGCGGUGAAAUGCNUANAUNUCGGGAAGAACACCAGUGGCGAAGGCGCUCUGCUGGGCCAUAACUGACGCUCAUGGACGANAAGCCACGGAGCGAAAGGGAUUAUAAAC